rnacentral:rRNA from 1 species
UACAGAGGUGGCAAGCGUUGUUCGGAAUUACUGGGCGUAAAGGGCUCGUAGGUGGCCAACUAAGUCAGACGUGAAAUCCCUCGGCUUAACCGGGGAACUGCGUCUGAUACUGGAUGGCUUGAGUUCGGGAGAGGGAUGCGGAAUUCCAGGUGUAGCGGUGAAAUGCGUAGAUAUCUGGAGGAACACCGGUGGCGAAGGCGGCAUCCUGGACCGACGACUGACACUGAGAGCGAAAGCCAGGGGAGCAA